AUGGUAUAAUGAAUAAGGAUCGACCGAUAUUAAUUUUUUAGGUCCGAUACCGAUAAUCUAUGAACUUUCAGGCCGAUAGCCGAUAAUUUAUACCGAUAUUCUGUGAAUUUUCAUUUAAAAAAAUAAAAUAAAUUCCUACACAAAUCUGCUGAA